rnacentral:rRNA from 1 species
AUUCAAUUGUCAGAGGUGAAAUUCUUGAUUUAUGGAAGAUGAACUUAUGCGAAAGCAUUUACCAAGGAUGUUUUCAUUAAUCAAGAACGAAAGUUAGGGGAUCGAAGAUGAUUAGAUACCAUCGUAGUCUUAACCAUAAACUAUGCCGACUAGGGAUUGGCGGGUGUUACUUUAAUGACCCCGUCAGCACCUUAUGAGAAAUCAAAGUCUUUGGGUUCCGGGGGGAGUAUGGUCGCAAGGCUGAAACUUAAGGGAAUUGACGGAAGGGCACCACCAGGAGUGGAGCCUGCGGCUUAAUUUGACUCAACACGGGGAAACUUACCAGGUCCAGACAUAGUAAGGAUUGACAGAUUGAGAGCUCUUUCUUGAUUCUAUGG